AUGGAGGAACUUCAACAGUGUCGUAAAAGAUAUGAGGAUUUCUUCGGAACUCUAUUUGAAAAAUUGGGAUCUUUUAUAUCAAAAUAUCCCAAAAUAGUCAUAAGUAUAUGUGUGGUAGUAAAUAGUCUGUUUCUAAUUGGAUUGUUGAAGCUUUCAACCGAAAACAAUGUUGAGGUGUUGUACACUCCAAGUAACAGUCAGGCGUACAAAGACAGAGAGUUUCUUAAAAACGUGUACUCAGAUCCAACGACGAGCAAUUUCGAGUCAUACCAGCUUGAAACAUUUGGAAGAUACGUAGAUGUAAUGAUGAUUUCCAAAAACAAGUCAGACAUCAUGAAUCAACAAUAUAUUGAUGAAAUAAAUAAUAUCAACCAGUUUAUACAGAACUCAGUAGUUGUUUAUGAAACAGAUGGAACAGCUUACAAAUUUGCUAAUGUUUGCGCGUUGAGCAGUUCUGGGUGUUCUGUACUUGGUGGAGUUGUUUUGGAUUCUGAAUUUCAGCGACAGUUUAUUCAGAGAAAUGUCUCAUUUCCUAUGUAUAAUUCUCAAUUAUUGUCUCCAAUAUUUGCGAAUGCCCGAAGUCAAAAGGGAAAACUUGCAUCUACCAUUGGGGUCAAAUUGAGAUAUUACCUGCAACAAAACAAUUCUCUUCCUAAAACUUGGGAAAAUGAAUUUCUCAAUCAGAUACCCCAUUUAAAACCUAAUCUUACAGAUGUCGCUUAUGCUAACUCUGAGUCCCUCGAAACAGAACUCAACAAAGCUACAGACAGUGACAUAACAUUUUUUAGUGUGACAUUCACGUUAAUGAUGACGUAUGCUUGCCAGGCUUCAGCAUCGUCUUGGCUAAAAUGUAACAACAUUGCAAACAGAGCAAAUCUGGGAAUCGCAGGAGUAAUCACACCAGUCUUAGGAAUAGGAGCAGCUUUUGGUUUUGUUAGUGCGAUUGGAAUAAAGUUCACGAAUAUUGUAGGAGUCAUGCCUUUCUUGAUAAUAGCAAUAGGUAUUGAUGACAUGUUUAUUCUGAUGUCUGGAAUGGCGGGAGCACCGUCCCUGUCGAAAGCAUCAAUUGAAGACAGGAUGAAAAGCAUGCUAAGGACGAGCGGAAUAUCGAUUACCAUAACGUCAGUUACUGAUCUCCUUGCAUUUGGUGUUGGGGCCACCUCGGUGUUUCAAAGCAUACGAACUUUUUGUAUUUAUACAGGUCAGAAAGCGAAGUGCUCAAAUCUGCCCUUGAUAAAUCUGGAGGACCAGUAUUUAAUGCUGCAUUUUCGUCCUUGCUUGAUUAGGAAUAUAAGCACCUUCUCAGUAGAAAGAAGCAAAGAUGUUUUUCGGAACAAGAAAUCAAGAGAGGCAAAAUUUGCUGAUCUACCUAAUAACAUUUAUUGUGACGUCCAACAUGUUAACUCCUGUCGUAGGGACCACUAAUAACCGGAUACUGCUGAGCAGCGUGGUGGUAGGGGCCACACUCGCCGCUUCUCUGUGUG
rnacentral:sRNA from 1 species